UACGAAGGGGGCGAGCGUUGUUCGGAAUUACUGGGCGUAAAGGGCGCGCAGGCGGCUCUUCAAGUCAGGCGUGAAAGCCCCGGGCUUAACCUGGGAAUUGCGCUUGGGACUGGAGGGCUUGAGUACGGGAGAGGAGAGUGGAAUUCCCAGUGUAGAGGUGAAAUUCGUAGAUAUUGGGAAGAACACCGGUGGCGAAGGCAGCCAUCUGGACCGACACUGACGCUGAGGCGCGAAAGCGUGGGGAGCAAACAGG
rnacentral:rRNA from 1 species